ACAGUGUUGCGUUUGAGGAGCCGUGGUAGGAACUGCCCGUAGUAAUAGUCGUCAGCUGAUUUCGACUGGCUGGCUGGCUGAACAGUCAAGCCGUUGUUGAGGGGCGAGAGCCGAGGCAGACUUAUUCAUCAGAGAUAUAGUUUAAAGACGAUACUGUAUUUUGAAAAAAAUAUAGGAUAACAUUCGAAAUUGCGUGGGAUGUAAGAACGCGAAAUUGAAAGAACCGUAAAUGCAGGAAGUGGAAAAUCAAUGAGGAGCUCCGUGACUUGGUUGCUGGUAGUGCAAGGCACUCGUAUAAAAUAUCUAGCACGGUGAUAAUGUAAUUCUUAACUGUCGUUAUUUAUAUUACGCGAGAUAUAAUCGUUGUCCCACCUUCAAUAAGCAACCCAUUUUUACGAUAAUAAAUAUCAAGUGCCGAUCAUAGAAUUCAAUUACAUAUAUGUUAAAAAGAUUUUGUUAAGAAUAAGUUUCCAUAGAUUGAAAGAAUCGAGAAACAACGCAAAACGUAUUUCGGGUGAUUUUUAUUUUUAUGCUGACCUUCAUCUUGGCUGCUGAGAAUUCGCACCCGGACACGUGCGAACAGCUUUAGCAACGUUAACUGACGUAACGUGAAUCUUUCGUAAUUUAGCGUACGUGACACGUAAGUAUUUUUUUAAAGGAAGAACCCUCAGGAACCGAGAAUUCGACGGGGGCCUGACGAUUCAUUGAUUCGUCAGUGAAAACAAUUCGGUAGUGAGGGAACGCUCAGCUGGGCGAACAGCUGCUGGCCGCUGUUAACGCUUGAACACUUGGAAAGCCUCAUUUUUAUCUAGCCUAUUAAACAAAUUUCCCUUUUUCCGUGAAAAUUCCGUGUCUAAAUUCUUUCAGGACCGAAAAGGCAAGUCCAAGAGUCCAAGUCCAAGUCUGAGAAUAUACUUGCGAAAUGUCCCUUACCAUUACUUUUCCUUGAAAUAAAGUAGCUUCAUUUAGCUCGUAGCGACAUCGUGUUGCCUGUAGUGGCAAUCAUAUGUAGCAGUGCUUCUCAAAAUAAAGUAAAGUUAGCCAACUCGAUAUAAAAAAAUCGAUAGUCGAAACGUCAAAUCCUGCUAAAUGGAUCUUUGAUCUUUAUUCUUUUGAAUUGUAAUAAUCCUACGAGAAACUUUCUUACUUGUACAUUUAGGUUAUGUUUCAUCUAUGCUUAAUAUAGACAUAACCUUGUCUAAACUGUAAAUGUAGCUCUAAUGAAAUGUUGAAUGUAACCAUCGAAUACAUAAUCCUUUGUUCUUUAUUGUUUUAAGUCGUAAUAACUCUAUAAUAAGAUAUUUCGUUCCUUUUUUUUUCUUAUACAAUGACUAGUUUAUGUCUAGGUUAUGUCUAAUUUAUACUCUAGUAUAUACCUUAAUAUAGAUAUAACUUUAUCGAAACUUUAAAUAUAACGAUGCUGUAAUGUUUCCUUAAAAAUCGAAUAAUUCCAUGUAACGUUUGUUUGCUGGAUUAGAUGCAUUCGUAAAUCAAACGUAAUCUUAUCAUUGUUUACAAAUGAGUUUGAAGAGAUUGUAUGCGCACGUUGCUAUUUCAUACUGAUAGCUACGUAGAACAAUGUAUGACGAAAUUGGCGAAAAAUAAGAGCAGAAUGGAUUUCGAAGAUGGAAUACAAAUGAAUUUUGUGGAGUGAAUGGGACAAGAUUGGAAUACCACUUCAAACAGUGUGAACGAAACGCCUGCGCCAGUCUCCCCUGUCAAUACUGUUUGGGGGAUGCCUCCAUUUCGCUGUUAAAUUGAUACGAGUCAAUGCACGCCAGUAACAGACCAGGCAUUAGAAACAUUUUGUUUCCUACGACCCAGUAUCGCCUACUCCUCUGACAUUGAUUUCCGGAAACCCUUAUGUGCUCAAAAAAUAAGCCAAUCCCGAAAUCUAUCGAUCAGACAACUUAUUCCUUUAGCCUUCCGAAUCUUAUACUUUUGACUUCUCAAAGAAACUUUUAUCAUCAAAUUGACUUUAAGUAUGAAUAAAUCGUUAAUUUGUAAUUCCCUGGAAAAUAACAUUUAGAAGCGAAGACGCACUAUAAAUGCGUGGAAACAAAUUAAUGGAUUUUUAAUGUUCUGUUACAAGAUAUGUAUAUACGCAUAGAGGGAGAUAAUUUAGUAGUAGGAAAACAAAAUUACGAUAAAAGUGUAAAAGGGGAACUUAUUUGGAUAUUUCGUUCUUUUUAAUGGAAAAAUUGUUAGUACGAUAUCGAACGUUGCGUAUGUGAGAUUUGAUAGCGUGCAAUUAAUUGAGGAAAUGUCAACAAUUGAAGAAAAUUAUUUUUUAUUCAUAACGAAAUUUCAAAAAUUUUGCAAUAUGAAUAAUUUGUACAACGUAAAAUAGAGAGAUGUAUUCAGGAUAAUCUUAUUAAAUAUCCGUCUGAGUCCCAGGAGUCGUUGUAAAAAUAGGGUCGGAAAAUCCCGAAUAACACGAUAGCGCUUGUCUCAAUCGAUUACGAAGAGAACCAAGCAGCGCAAUAGAGCUCGUCAUAUUUGUUACUUAUUUACCGAAUGUCCAGCUGGACGAAUUAUAAAGUUCAAAUUAAAUAAUAAAAAAAAUAUAUUUGUUACUUUAUGAAAUAUAUCUAUAUUAUUAAAUAUUUCAAGUUUUGUUCAAUAAAAGUUAUUGAGAAGAUAACAAUGAAAUACAAAAUACCGUCAGUCGUCCGUAGCGUUCAAAUGUACUAGGACUGUUCGACACAAAAUCUACACAACGCGAUCGCGCUACGUGGCUUUCAAACUGAUAUAGAGGCUUAUUAUUAUGAUUUCGAUUUAUGAUCUCUGUGAAAUAUAUAUAUCUAAAUAUCUUGUAAUUUAUAUAUAUAUAUAUAGUUUCAGAUUUGUUUCAAGCAUUACCAAUAUAAUCAUAAUAAUUAAGUCUCAUAAGAGUGGUAGUAAAAUUUGAAAAUAUUUUAUAUAACACAUAAUAUACGUAUUUGUAAAGGAUUUCUAUAAGUUCAAAUUGAUGAACUACUACAAGCGUACAUGUGUUUGAGACGGUUUUCUGCGAGCUAAAUUAUUUUAUAAAUGAUGCGUAUAUAUGUAUAUAUGUUUGUGUAUAAAGAGAAUAUUUAUCAACAGUAGAUGUGAACACGAGAACUGAAUUUUCUUUGGCAUGUUCUUUGUAUCACGAGCACUGAUUUCCACACUUUGGCACCUACUUACGUAUAUAAAUUACGGUUUAAUAUUUGCCACGAGUUUAUAUCAUACUAAAAUAAUUUUACUAUUUCGAGAGCAGAAAUAAAAAUAUCAACGAAAUCACAGAACCAGAACAAGUUUAUCUAUGUCCAUAAAAUAGCCAUUUAAGAACUUAAUGAGUUUUAAUGAAUUCGUAAAUUUUCUACAAAAUAAGAAGAUGUCACGUCAACCUUGUAUCUUUUUAGUACCUUGUACCUUUAUAGGGUUUCUCAUUUUCUUUUCUCAUUUUGGAUAAAUGUGCCUUGGGAAUGACAAUAAUCACGGAUAAGUAAAUGUAUUUAGCUUAUUGUAACAGCGUCUAAAAACACGUUGGAUUCAAAUACGGAUUUAAUAAAUUCAAUUUUUGUACAAGUCUCAUAGCGGGCGAAAUAAAUUUUUUAUACAUUAUUUUUGA